CCCAAGCCCUGGACCUAGCAACUUGGCCCUCCUACGAUCACUGCCUCUACUUCUGCAUCCCUUCAACCCACCCUCCUGGUGAGGCUAACGGUACCCAAGGCUGAGCCUGGGUUCGAGACUUGUGAUGGAAGGAGUCUUCAUGUCUCUGAGCCUCUCUUAUGCGGGGAUGAUAAAGCUCACCUCAAAAGGAAUUGUAAGAGAGGGGAACAGAAGCCCUGUAUAUCUGCCACCUGCUGACUCUCACUACCUGGGACAGGGAGGUGGGGCCAGAAAUUUGAGGGGCUAGGGAAAGAAGUGUGUGUGUGUACAUGUGCACGUGUAUGAAUUGUGUGUGCAUUUACACACACACACAGGUAUCCUUGGACAAUCCUGAGGUUAAUUCUAGGGAUUGUUCUCAAAGAGGAUCUCCAGGGCCCACAGGUCAAAGUCAAGAGCAAUGAGUAGGUCUGACCAGCCCC